GGUAGUGUAGUUAAUAGCUGCAUUAUUUGACGUUAGCGACAGAAGAAGCACCGGCUAACUCCGUGCCAGCAGCCGCGGUAAUACGGAGGUGCGGCGUUAAUCGGAAUUACUGGGCGUAAAGCGCAUGCAGGUGGUUUGUUAAGUCAGAUGUGAAAGACCCGGGGCGUCAACCUCGGAAUAGCAUUUGUAAACUAGGCAGACUAGAGUACUGUAGAGGGGGGUAGGAAUUUCAGGUGUAGCGGUGAAAUGCGUAGAGAUCUGAAGGAAUACCGGUGGCGAAGGCGGCCCCCUCGGACAGAUACUGACACUCAGAUGCGAAAGCGUGGGGAGCAAACAGGAUUAGAUACCCUGGUAG
rnacentral:rRNA from 1 species